AGAAUGCCCUGUUGGAUCUUGCUUCAGUCAUUGACACCCUGUCGUUACGGGCUGUUAUCAGCGAUGUCCUCUCGACCGUCAUCCCCAACGUGGAGAACAUCUUCAUCUACCUGCUGGACGUGAGCUCAAACAAGAUGUUGUGUGACAACCCCCCACACGAGAUGUCCAAGGAAGGGAGACUAAGAGAAGCAGUGAUCACAAAGUCGAGAAUUGAAUGCAACGGGCUCCACAAGACUGACAUCCAGGUCACCAAGAUGAACCACAUGGUGGCUCCGCUGCCGAACGACAAACAAGGUGGGUGGAGCUACUUCAUCUGA